rnacentral:rRNA from 1 species
AGUGAACGCUGGCGGUAGGCCUAACACAUGCAAGUCGAACGGCAUCACAGUAAUUGCUUGCUCUUACGGGUGGCGAGUGGCGGACGGGUGAGGAAUACAUCGGAAUAUACAUUUUCGUGUGGGCUAAUGUCGGGUAACUUCCGCUAGUACCGCAUACGACCUACGUGUGACAGCCGGGGAUCUUCUGACCUUGUGCGAAUGAAUGAGCCGAUGUCGGAUUAGCUAGGUGGCGGGGUAAAGGCACACCAAGGCCACGAUCCGUAGCUGGUCUGAGGGGAUGAACAAGCAGCUUGGAUGUGAGGCUGGGUCGCGACACCGGCAGGGGGAAGCAGUGGAGAAUAUUGGACAAUGGGGGCAAGCCUGAUCCAGCGAUACCGCGGGGAGGAAGAAGGACUUCUGGUGGGAAAGCCCUUUAGUUGGGAAAGAAAAGAAGCAGAUUAAUACCCCGCUGUUCUGACGGUACCCAAAGAAUAAGCACCGGCUAACUUCGUG